UUAUUGGGCGUAAAGAGCUCGUAGGCGGUUUGUCGCGUCUGGUGUGAAAUCCCGAGGCUCAACCUCGGGCUUGCAUCGGGUACGGGCAGACUAGAGUACUGUAGGGGAGACUGGAAUUCCUGGUGUAGCGGUGGAAUGCGCAGAUAUCAGGAGGAACACCGAUGGCGAAGGCAGGUCUCUGGGCAGUUACUGACGCUGAGGAGCGAAAGCAUGGGGAGCGAACAGGAUUAGAUACCCUGGUAGUCCAUGCCGUAAACGUUGGGCACUAGGUGUGGGGCUCAUUCCACGAGUUCCGUGCCGCAGCUAACGCAUUAAGUGCCCCGCCUGGGGAGUACGGCCGCAAGGCUAAAACUCAAAGGAAUUGACGGGGGCCCGCACAAGCGGCGGAGCAUGCGGAUUAAUUCGAUGCAACGCGAAGAACCUUACCAAGGCUUGACAUGCACCGGACGCUGCCAGAGAUGGUGGUUCCGCAAGGUCGGUGCACAGGUGGUGCAUGGUUGUCGUCAGCUCGUGUCGUGAGAUGUUGGGUUAAGUCCCGCAACGAGCGCAACCCUCGUCCCAUGUUGCCAGCGGGUUAUGCCGGGGACUCAUGGGAGACUGCCGGGGUCAACUCGGAGGAAGGCGGGGAUGACGUCAAAUCAUCAUGCCCCUUAUGUCUUGGGCUUCACGCAUGCUACAAUGGCCGGUACAGAGGGCUGCGAUACCGUAAGGUGGAGCGAAUCCCAAAAAGCCGGUCUCAGUUCGGAUUGGGGUCUGCAACUCGACCCCAUGAAGUCGGAGUCGCUAGUAAUCGCAGAUCAGCAACGCUGCGGUGAAUACGUUCCCGGGCCUUGUACACACCGCCCG
rnacentral:rRNA from 1 species